GGACACCACAAUCUUCCUUCCAGCAGGUCCAUCCUCUUUUACUGGAGGUGGAGCAGGUUCAAAUAUCUUCUGCUGCAUAGCUGGUGGAAGAGUUGAAUAUAAAGGCACCACUUUCACAGGCCCUACCUGGUCGCCAAGAUUUGCAAUUUCUUUAUUUAUUUUGCGACAUGCAUCUUCAAUUUCCUCCUCACCAGUGAGGAAAACAAGUAUAUCACCUGGAGGUUCACAC
rnacentral:misc_RNA from 1 species